GUAGGGAAUCUUCGGCAAUGGACGAAAGUCUGACCGAGCAACGCCGCGUGAGUGAAGAAGGUUUUCGGAUCGUAAAACUCUGUUGUUAGAGAAGAACAAGGAUGAGAGUAACUGUUCAUCCCUUGACGGUAUCUAACCAGAAAGCCACGGCUAACUACGUGCCAGCAGCCGCGGUAAUACGUAGGUGGCAAGCGUUGUCCGGAUUUAUUGGGCGUAAAGCGAGCGCAGGCGGUUUCUUAAGUCUGA
rnacentral:rRNA from 1 species